rnacentral:rRNA from 1 species
AUUGAACGCUGGCGGCAGGCCUAACACAUGCAAGUCGAGCGGAUGAAGGGAGCUUGCUCCUGGAUUCAGCGGCGGACGGGUGAGUAAUGCCUAGGAAUCUGCCUGGUAGUGGGGGAUAACGUCCGGAAACGGGCGCUAAUACCGCAUACGUCCUGAGGGAGAAAGUGGGGGAUCUUCGGACCUCACGCUAUCAGAUGAGCCUAGGUCGGAUUAGCUAGUUGGUGGGGUAAAGGCCUACCAAGGCGACGAUUCGUAACUGGUCUGAGAGGAUGAUCAGUCACACUGGAACUGAGACACGGUCCAGACUCCUACGGGAGGCAGCAGUGGGGAAUAUUGGACAAUGGGCGAAAGCCUGAUCCAGCCAUGCCGCGUGUGUGAAGAAGGUCUUCGGAUUGUAAAGCACUUUAAGUUGGGAGGAAGGGAAGUAAGUUAAUACCUUGCUGUUUUGACGUUACCAACAGAAUAAGCACCGGCUAACUUCGUG